rnacentral:rRNA from 1 species
AGCGAACGCUGGCGGCAGGCUUAACACAUGCGAGUCGAGCGGGCAUCCUUGUGGUGUCAGCGGCAGACGGGUGAGUAACGCGUGGGAACGUGCCCUUCGGUUCGGAAUAACUCAGGGAAACUUGAGCUAAUACCGGAUACGCCCUUUUGGGGAAAGGUUUACUGCCGAAGGAUCGGCCCGCGUCUGAUUAGCUAGUUGGUGAGGUUAUGGCUCACCAAGGCGACGAUCAGUAGCUGGUCUGAGAGGAUGAUCAGCCACACUGGGACUGAGACACGGCCCAGACUCCUACGGGAGGCAGCAGUGGGGAAUAUUGGACAAUGGGGGCAACCCUGAUCCAGCCAUGCCGCGUGAGUGAUGACGGCCUUAGGGUUGUAAAGCUCUUUUCUCCGGGACGAUAAUGACGGUACCGGAGGAAUAAGCCCCGGCUAACUUCGUG